AACAUUAAUAGGUAUGACUCAGAGAACGUUAAGACAACAAUAGAAAUCUCAGAACAAUUUUAGACACAAAUUCACUUGAACUAAACCCUUUCUAAACAUCCUAUUUUACGUAAAAUGUGUACUUUGGUGUCUGAUAAGUAAAAAAAUACUUACAUUUGAUGACUUACCUUAAAAUAUUACAACAAUUAUUACAGUAGAAUCUCUAAUUAUAAAAAUAUCACUAUACCUUUAGGAGUAUGUCAAAGAAUAUCCAAAGGCUACUGCGAAUAAUUCAUAGGAAACUCAAGGACCCCCAAAGCAGAGACAAACAAGAAAAAGGAGCUAAGGAAAGGAGCGAGGGGCGUGAAGAAACGAAGAACUGUACUGUGUAUGUUUGGUUGCCUAAGAAUAUUCUCAAUUCCAAAAAUAAAUUUAUAUUAAUUAAUUCCAUUAAAAUAGAAGAUUGUCCAAAUAUGUAAAGUAAAUUAAAUAAAAAUUAACUUAACAAAA